UAUUGGGGAAAUUUUCAAACUUAAGCAAAACUAGAAGUAUACUUACUGCCAUGUAUUCACCAUCCAGUAUCAACAAUUAUCAAUACCUGACCAUUGGAUUACUUUGCGUCAGAAUCCCAGAGAAAUUAAGAUUUCCUUUUCUUAAAAAAAAAAAAUCUUUGAAUAGAGUUCCCAUUGUGGCUCAGUAGAUUAAGAACCAGACAUUGCCUCUGUGAGGAUGCAGGUUCGAUUCCUGACCUCACUCAGUAGGUUAAGGAUCCAGUGCUGCUGCACACUGUGCGUAGGUGGCAGGUACAGCUCAGAACCGGUGUUGUUGUGGCUGUGGAAUAGGCUGGCAGGUGUAGCUCUGAUUUGACCCCUAGCCUGGGAACUUCCAUAUGCUGCAGGUACAGCCCUAAAACAAAAUAAAACAAAGCAAACAAAAAAAGCUUGAUCAUGCGUAAUUUAAUAGCAUUAGCUCUCCAGUCAGUAUGCCUCCUUCCCUGAUUGAUAAAAUUUCACCACUGGCUCUUUUUAAUAAUACAUCUAUUUUUAUGUCAAAAUAUGCCUUUUAUUAUUUAAAAAACAACUUGCAAAGGUAUGCAAAAGUACUAUGAAAGAUAAACUUUUUUUUUCAUUUCAUUUUUACUUCAUUAUUAAUAGGAACUAGCACAAUGCCUGGCCCGUGGUAUUUAUUGAAUGAAAGGAGAGAAGGCAGGAUAGAGGAAGUUAGGAUGGAAAGUAGGAAGGAAGGAAUGAAGGAAAUAGGGAAGGAAAGGGAAGGGAAGGAAAGGACAGGAGGAAGGAAGACGUAAUUCCUAGCCUCGCCACCCACAUCCAUUUCUGACACAUCUGCUUACAAAUGCAUAAUUUGGUACUUUUGUCCUGCAUGUGCAAUUGUGUAUCCUGCUUAUUACAGGUGGUGACCUGUAAAACAUUUCCCAUUGGUCCCAUGCAUGAUUGACGUAUAUGUCCUAUCCUAGGAGUCCCCCGCCCUGACCAUAGCCUCUUCCCCACCCAGCCGGAGCUCCCUGGGAGAGACCUUCACCUCGCAGGCUGCCCAGGCCUCUGAGUGAGAUGAUGUAAUGCUGGCAUGCACACAGCUGGCACUCUGCUAAAAUUCACUUUAAAAAUAUUUAUCAUUUAAUUCCUGAAAUUGUCAACCACCACCCCCCAUUGGAGGGGGCAGUUUGCUAAGGGGAUGAAGAGCUAGUAAGUCCAAGGCAUUUUGGAGCAUUCUUCAUCCAGCAGCUCUGCUAUGAUUAGAGCCCUGGUUUUACCAGAACCCGUGAGCCUUUAGGGUGGGAGUGCUAGAGAGAAGCAAUAUUUCUGGGGGUGGCCCCACAGCACAGCAAAUCAGGCUCCAGGCAUGGUCGGUACUGUGAUAACAGGUGGAACCAUUUCCGUUCCAUUUAGUCUAUUUCCAUCUCGCAGUUAACCUAAUGCAUGGUGGUACAGGAGCUCAUGUGAUGUUCCAGGAAUUGAGUAUGCUUGUGGUAUGUCUUGCAGUGCUUAUUUACCUAUAAACACAUAAUGUUCUUGGACACAUUAAACUCCGGUAAUUGCUGGUAGCAGCAGGCAGGAUAAUUUAGGGGUUAUCAACCCAGGCACACAUUUAACCCCCAAGAUGUUAUCAGUUACACUCAUUUCCUCCCCCCCUUUUAUUUUUUUUUCUUUUCUUUUCAAAGGAUGGGAGAACUUGGGGUCAAGUGAUUCUUUCUAGAAUGACAUAGUACCUGCCCGACCAUGGAUGGCCCUCGGUGAUUAUGCUGUAGCAACAGUCACUUGAUUGUUUAAAAUGUCCCCCCUUUAAACAGGCCAGAGGAACUGCCGAGACAGUGGAGUACGGUCAGCGUGGUUAAGAGCAAGCAUGAUUGAGUCAGCUCCCGAGAAACUACAUCUGCGAAACCCGGUCCUCAUCAUUGGCUUGAGCCAGGAUACCAGACGGGGUGGAGGACAUCUCUGGGUGCUAUUCAGGAUAGCCUCAGGCUGUGCUCUGGGGGCUGGUUGGGGGGUGCCCAUCCCCCCCCACCCCCCCACCCCCUGCGAGACUGUGUGCCUCUUCUGUGCAUCUUUAUCAACAGAGCUGACAUCAGAGCUGGCCUGAGUGGCCUCAGAACAGCAGGAGAACUGUCCUGGCCCAAAUCUGCAACAUGUACAUCUUUGCAAACACUUAAGAAAGGAGGUAGCAUUUGAGAACAUGGCAUUGGUUUAGAAAGUUCUAGAUAAGAGACUACAGUCCUCGGCCAAGGCCUGUGUUAGUUACUGUCUUGUUUAGUGGCACCUUUUAAAAGAGGGCUGUCCCUGGUCUCUUGAUGAAUCUUCUCCCACAAGGUAGAACCUGCUCCUCAUCUGCUCCGUCUUCUGGCUUGUUGAGGGGUGCAGGGGAGGGAGGCAGUUCCCUGUCUCGGAAGCUUUGUUUGUGAAACGAGGAUAACGCCUGCCCCCUUGCAGCUUUCUGAUGUCACAUAAGUCUCUCUUCCUGGGCUACAGUAGUAGG
rnacentral:lncRNA from 1 species